rnacentral:misc_RNA from 1 species
CUAAUCUUCUGUUUUAGUAAGUGUGCAGACUGAUAUGUAGCACUAUGGUAACUGUGAUAAAUUGACUAAAACAAAAGCUGUCAUAAAAAAGGUUUAAAUCAUUUCCUGGUCAUUGUAUUAAUAUUAGUAUGGUUUCAAUAACUUUUAACAAGCUUGGUUUUGUUUAUGUUCAUAUAUAACAACAGCAGCCAACCAAUCUCAACCUUCAAUUCAUCAAUAAAGAUAAGUUAUGUCCAUAGAUAAAAGUAGUCACAUACCAUUGUACAAAAAUAGUAUCCCAC